AUUGAACGCUGGCGGCAUGCCUAACACAUGCAAGUCGAACGGAAGCAGGGAGCUGGCUUCUGGAUUCUGGGGAGGGCGGGUGAGUAGUGUCUAAGAAUCUGCCUGGUAGUGGGGUAUAUCGUCCGGAAAUGGGCGCAAAUACCGUAUAAGCUCUGGGGGAGAACGGGGGGCAUCUGGGGAUCUCGCGCUAUCAGAUGAGUCUAGGUCGGAUUAGCUAGUUGGUGGGGUAAAGGCCUACCAAGGCGACGAUCCGUAGCUGGUCUGAGAGGAUGAUCAGACACACUGGGACUGAGACACGGUCCAGACUCCUACGGGAGGCAGCAGUGGGGAAUAUUGGACAAUGGGCGAAAGCCUGAUCCAGCCAUGCCGCGUGUGGGAAGAAGGCCUUCGGAUUGUAAAGCGCUUUAAGUUGGAAGGAAGAGGAGUAAGUUAAUACCUUGGUGUUUUGACGGUACCGAAAGAAUAAGCACCGGCUAACUUCGUG
rnacentral:rRNA from 1 species